rnacentral:rRNA from 1 species
CCUACGAGAGGCAGCAGUAGGGAAUUUUCGUCAAUGGGCGCAAGCCUGAACGAGCGAUGCCGCGUGAGUGAAGAAGGCCUUCGGGUCGUAAAGCUCUGUUGCGGGGGAAAAAAGGCAGCAUCAGGAAAUGGGUGCUGACUGAUGGUGCCCCGCCAGAAAGUCACGGCUAACUACGUGCCAGCAGCCGCGGUAAUACGUAGGUGGCGAGCGUUAUCCGGAAGGAUUGGGCGUAAAGGGUGCGCAGGCGGUCCUGCAAGUCUGGAGUGAAACGCAUGAGCUCAACUCAUGCAUGGCUUUGGAAACUGGAGGACUGGAGAGCAGGAGAGGGCGGUGGAACUCCAUGUGUAGCGGUAAAAUGCGUAGAUAGAUGGAAGAACACCAGUGGCGAAGGCGGCCGCCUGGCCUGUUGCUGACGCUGAGGCACGAAAGCGUGGGGAGCAAAUAGGAUUAGAUACCCCAGUAGUC